GAAAAAAAAGGAGCAGUACCGCCGGAAAUUCGGUGGGGGGCAGUGUAGCCAAUAGCGCAAGCGGGACAACCACAGGACCUGUGCACAGGACGCGAAGAAGAAAUGUAAAAAAAAUUGCGGUGAGACUCGCGGAGGUAUGUCCGAGGCCGAGAACACGGCACCGAGGGCGCGAUAAGAAUGAGCUCCGGAGCAGAAUGUGCCGCAAAUGCACCUAUGACGCUGGUGGCCAAACGCAAGUGAAAACGACGAAGAAGAGCGUACAACCAAUUUCGAGUUCCGAGGUAUAAAUGGGACGCAGAGCACCACUAUCAGAUAUCCACCAAUCAGAGAACUCGAUGUUACUAUAGGAUUUCUCAAUGACAUUGCGGAAGAAAAACAUGUUUUUUCCUUAAAACAAGGCUGAUGUCAUACAGUCUACAUUCGAUGGUUACGACAUUAUGGCUAAUGAUAAAAAUGAACCUCACUGUUGAGCUCUAUCGUGUUCUUGUGUGUGUAUUGCAAUGCUGCGUUUCAGCAAGGUGAGUGAAUGUGUAUGUGUCUUACCUCCAGUAUCACCAUGGAGCCAGAUGGUGCUGUCAAGAUCCCCACAACGCGGUGCUUAGCCACCCUGUGCACCGCAGCAGCACUCACCUCUGACCUCACAGACACACACACGUACAAGGAUACAAUGCAGCUGCUCAAUUUACUACUGCACGCCAAACGGAUAAAGAACCACGAAUGCACUGAGGUGUAGAAGCUGUAUGAAGUAUCUCACUGGGUGUCGUCAUGCAGCUAGCCAUAAUCCCCGAUGUCUGCCGUCACCAAGCUGACCACUGACCUGGGCGAGGGCGUGUGUGGGUGCCAGGUGGCCUGUUGUCAUGCAACACACAAUGGCUGCAGGAGGCAGGACGCAUCAUUCCUCGCACCUGACAGAAAACAGCCCUCUCCUAUGAAGCUCCUUCUGCAACAAGAUUCCUGCCGCUUGUCGUGGAAUCAUCCACCGUGUCAGUAUUUAAGACCCAUUUUUCUUCACCACGGCUUACAACCUGCCAUAACUCAUUGACUCUCUUCUCCUGUUCCUGGCACUGCUCUGCACUUUCUUAUCAAGCUGGAGCUUUAUUUCACAGUGUUUGUGUUACGCAGUGCACUUUUUUCUCUGUCUCACCUUUGCUACUUCUGCUUUUGCUCUAUGGGAAAUUUCUAGAGGGUAAAAAAAAUAGAAUCUGAAAAAUUCCAAGAUCAUGCAGUGUGAUUAAACAGAUGUCAUCUCCGGUAUGGACACUAUAGCUUAAGUUGUGUGUGUGUGUGUGUGUGUGUGCGUGUGUCAGAGAGAGGGAGCAGUGUUUUAUGGGUCUAGUUAUUAACUCCAUGUGACUUUUCACUGAUCCAGCAGGCUGGAAAAACAAAAAAAAGGAAAGAAGAGAAGAGAAAUGAGGAAGAGGACUAUAGAUUGUCCUUCAGUCUUCUGUCUGAUUCGGAUCACUGGAAAAUAUAGAAGGGAAAAGGAGAGAAAGAAUAUCUGUUGUUCUUUAUCCGUAAUCUACUAUGUCUGUUUCUACUUGCUGGCUGUCACUCAGACUACAUCUUCCCCAAUUUGGCGAGACGAGGGAUAUACGGGAUAUAUUCUAUUUCCCUCCUAAUCUCAAUUUGGGU
ensembl:lncRNA